CCUACGGGAGGCAGCAGUGGGGAAUUUUGGACAAUGGACGCAAGUCUGAUCCAGCCAUGCCGCGUGUGGGAAGAAGGCCUUCGGGUUGUAAACCACUUUUGUCAGGGAAGAAACGGCUCGGGUUAAUACCUUGGGCUAAUGACGGUACCUGAAGAAUAAGCACCGGCUAACUACGUGCCAGCAGCCGCGGUAAUACGUAGGGUGCAAGCGUUAAUCGGAAUUACUGGGCGUAAAGCGUGCGCAGGCGGUUAUGCAAGACAGAUGUGAAAUCCCCGGGCUCAACCUGGGAACUGCAUUUGUGACUGCAUGGCUAGAGUACGGUAGAGGGGGAUGGAAUUCCGCGUGUAGCAGUGAAAUGCGUAGAUAUGCGGAGGAACACCGAUGGCGAAGGCAAUCCCCUGGACCUGUACUGACGCUCAUGCACGAAAGCGUGGGGAGCAAACAGGAUUAGAUACCCUGGUAGUCCACGCCCUAAACCGAUGUCAACUGGUUGUUGGGAGGGUUUCUUCUCAGUACGUAGCUAACGCGUGAAGUUGACGCCUGGGGAAGUCGGCCGCAGGUUGAAACUCAAANAGAGUAGAGCGNGAGAGNGCGAGACGACGACGAGGAGAGG
rnacentral:rRNA from 1 species